AACAUUGAUUACUGCAAAGAUUUGGUGGUAUUACCAAUUGGUAUCUGUGAUAUCUUCUUACUAAAGAAGCUCAGGGUUACUAAUUGCCACAAGCUUUCUUCACUUCCCCAAGAUAUUGGAAAAUUGGAGAAUUUGGAACUUCUAAGCCUCAGUUCAUGUACUGACUUGGAAGCUAUACCGACUUCCAUUGGAAAGCUGUUAAAUCUAAAACAUCUUGACAUUUCAAACUGCAUCAGCCUUUCAAGUUUACCUGAGGAAUUUGGUAAUUUGUGCAAUCUAAAGAAUCUGGACAUGGCAAGUUGUGCAAGUAUUGAAUUGCCAUUCUCAGUUGUCAAUCUUCAGAAUUUGAAGACGAUAACCUGCGAUGAAGAGACGGCUGCUACAUGGGAAGAUUUCCAGCAUAUGCUUCCCAAUAUGAAGAUAGAGGUUCUUCAUGUUGAUGUUAACUUAAAUUGGCUUCUUUGAAUGACUUUUGUAUAGCAUAUAAUUAAAAUUCUUUUGUAAUAUUUUGUAAUUUCUUUUUGUAUAAAUACAUGAUUUGUAUUAGCUAUUCUCAAUCAAUAAAUUCAAUUUUUAAUUUUUUUAUCAGCUCAUUCUAUUGAUUUAUUUACAUUCUAAUAAGGUGGUAGUAAAUCCUUCUAUGCUUCUCCAACUCUAAAAAGCUUUUUGUAGUCCUUUGGUUCCCUGUUUCUGAGUUCUUCAAUCAUAGAUCAAAGUCGGCAAGAAGCAGUUGAUCCUCAAAAUUUGUCAAGCAUGGUCUUUGUUGCUUUCCAUUGAAUGGAUCAAAAUAUAUAAAUACACACUCACAGUUCCUUUUGUUGGUGAGUCUUUUACUAAAAUAACGAACAACCACUUCGAGUAUUUCCCCUUCCAAAUUUGCCUAUGGAUUAUAGAUAUUGGUGUCACCUUUUUUCCUUAAAUAUUGAACUCUGUGCAUUGGACCUAUAAAGGUGAUAUCAAUUUUUAUUGCAUAUAAAUAAAUCAAAUUUCAUUUUUAGUCCUUAAAAAGGUGAUUUUUCAACAUAUCCUUAAACUAUCCUUAAAUUUCAUUUUUAUUCCCGACUAAAUUCAAAUUUAUUUAACUUAUCCUUAAACUUUUAAAUUUUUGGUCUUCAAACUAUUUUUCAAUAUAUCAACCAAUUGGUCUUCAGACUUGACAAAAUAUGUGGUGAUUUCAUCUGGAAGUACCUUGUCUAUUACAUAAUGACAUCCAUCUCUAUUUGGUUCGUUCAUGGAAAAUUGGAUGCAUUGAUGAGUGCAAUUUGAAAACAUGUCUUAUCAUAUUUAUUAAAUGAUGUGGCAAUACAUGAUUGGAUGCAAUGUAACAUAGUGUAACACAACUAUAUAAGGAUGACACAUACAAAUUAACGUUACACCCUAUUUAUAGUCGUGCCUUGUCUUAGCUUUUCUGGUCUUGACGUGCAUUACAUGUACAUUGACGAAUCUUCAAAUCUCAAUUUGAGAGUGUCAAACAUAAUUCUCAAUUUGUGCAUAUGUAUGAGAAUAACUUCCCAACUUCUUGGAAAAUUAUCAUAAACUUGUUCAAUGUUAACUUUACUCUAAAUUUUGUCGGUAUGUCCUUAACUUGUUCAAUGUUAUAUAUGUUAAGUCAAGUGUACAAACUUCAAGAGGACUUUAAAGCAGAAUUGCUAGGAAAAAUAUUUGAAAGAGAAUAAAGGAUGUUAACCGCCGUUUGGUUCAAGUUAUGGGAUAAAAAAUCAUGUGACUACAAGAAUAUUGCCAUAUACUACGGAUGUUUAUAGCGACGGAUGGAAAACUGUAGGUAUUGAUGUUUUACCUACGGAAGUGGCCGUAGGUAUAGACAUCUAAAAUAAUAAAAUAAAAAAUAUCAAAAUAAUGCAGCGAGCGCGUAAUGAAAUUGUGGACUGUGAAAAACCCCACCUUUUCCCAACUCUAAAUUGCAAAAUGAUAAAAAUAAAACUAAUAAAAAUAAAAUAGAACCCCAACUGGCCAACUCCAUUCUUCACGUUUGUACCGGGCACACUGUAAUAAUAAGUAAGAGCUAUUGUAAUGAAAUGUGAUUUUAUUUGUAGGGUAUCUUUCAAGGAGAAUUUGUAGGUUUGGGGAGUUAUUUGUGGAAAAUGUAAAGGUAUAAUAGUGGAAAAAAUAACAAAUGUUGUAUUGUUAUUUUACGGUGACAAUUAUACAAAAAGAAAAUUCUAAAGAAACAAUUAUUUUAAGACGGAAGGAGGUAUUUGACUAAAAAUUUGUAUCAAAAUAUAAAUCUCUUUUUUAAAUUAUUAAAUAUAUUUAUCGUUUCCUUUUCAAAUAAACUCCUAAUUGAUACCACUGGGUGUUUUGAAAUAUGAUAACUUACACUUUACUACAUAUACAUAUAUACAAAUGAUAUUUUAGAUAAAUUUAUACAUAAAAUGAACAUAUUAACUACACUACCAAAUAUAUUUUAUAAGAGUUAAAAAAAAAAAAAAAAAUUAUAUAUAAGGAUGGAGGAAGUAUAUGACUUUAACCUUUAAUUUCAUCAAAAGUAGUUCGGAAUUAUUGGAAGACAAGGUCACGAGAUUCAUGCUUGAAUUCCAUAGCAGCAUAGACCAUGGCUUCCCGAUAUUUUUGGUUUCUACAUUUUUUGUGUGAAUUUAUAAUAGGUUUUUUACUCAACUUAUUGAGUUUUAAACACUUAAGUUUCUACUGUUUUUUUUUUUUUUUUUUUGUGUGGGCACAAUACUAUUAAAAACUUUUUAAUUAAUCAACUAAAAUAUAAAACAAGCAUGAGCAUAAGUUUGUUAUAAAAUUAUAAAAACAAUGCUAUCCAACAAAUGGAAGAUGAUUUUCUCAGAUUACUUGAUCGUCUAUAUGAUAAUAAUUGAUGAUUUUAACUUUAUUUUUUUGGAUAAAUCAGGAGAAAGGACAUACAUCAAAAGGUAGCACCGACAUCCUAAUUAGAUUGACAUCCCGAUGAAACUCCAUCCUAAGACGCCAUGCUCAAUUUUUUAUUUUAAAAAGGGGGAAGAGUAUAUAAAAGGGGAGGAGACCAAAAACCCUCAAAACAAGAAAGAAAAAGGAAAAGAAAAUCAACAAACUAGGGGAAUCUGUAAUUAGACAGACCACAUCUGUCGUGAAAGAAAUCAAAGUUCAAUUCUGAAGGUAAAGCCGUCAACCAAACUGAACCAUGUAGUGCAUAUCCCAUAUUAGUCAACUUGUCUUCCCGAUAAAAGUCCCCCAUGAACAACCAAGGCCUCUCUUAUAUUCCAAUAGAAAAAAAUUCAUUGGGCAGAUGGCGAGGGCUCUCGCGUAAAACAGGUUCUAUACGGCGGCUUUCUAUAAAUUGUUGUUUCUUUAAAUUUUCUUUUUUCUUUUUUGACAAGAGGAGAGUGACGGGAGCUUCAUAUCAUGUUGAAUCCUUGGAUUAUUGUGCUGCACAAUACCAACUUCAUGCGUGGCUAAUGAACUUGCAGUCAGAGCCAAGCUAGACACAAUGGCCACAACUGCUGGUACUACAUCAUCUGUCAGCAAGAGUUCAUCUGUCAGCAAGAGUUGUGUGCCUAUGUUGCUGUCCACGGGAACCAAGUCUGCAACAAAGGCAGGGAUUACUGGGAUGGGGUCUGGAACCGAAGUAAUGAGACAAGUUGGUGUAACUGAACCAUCCAACGGGGUUGUAGGGACUGUGUGCACCACAAUAUUGUGUGGAUGCACAACUGUGGAUGAGGGAAUGUCUUUAGAAGAGGCAGUGACUUCCUCGUGCACUACAAUGUUCAGCACUGCCGAAGAGCUCACCUCCCUAACCGAAUCCAAGGUAGCACCAUCAAAAUUCUCAUGCACGUCAACGUGCUCUACAUAAGUCAAAAGCGGAGCAGCAGCGACAAGAAGCUUUGGAACACUUUCCUCCUAAGAUUCCUGAUGCGUUCUCUCUACUUCAAGAGGGUCCACGUCAUCGUGCACAACACCGGUAACCAAUUCCAAAACGGGGAUAGCUGAUUGAGGUAACACGCCCUGAGGAGUUGCAUCAGAAACAUUUUGCAAAGCAAAGCUGAAAGAGCUGCUCGAAACAUCCUUAGGAAGAGCAAUGUUUUUAGUUGUAGACCGUUUUGGUGUAUCUAUGAUAGUAGCUGAAGCUGAAGGGUCUGCAACAUCAACAUAUUGCAUGGUACCUGAAGUAGAAGUACCUCUAUCACUACGGUACUGCCAAGGAGAAGGUUUCUUAGUAAGUGGUUCAGCCGCCAUAGGUUUCUUUCCAUGGUCAGUCACCUUAGUUGCCGGGUGCAACCACUUGCAAGUCGAAACAUUAUGUCCAAUGACAUAACAGUGAUGGCAAAAGAGCGGUCUCCUUUCAUAUUGUACUUCAACCUUAAAGGCAAAACCUUCCCGUUCCACAAGAAUUUCAUCAUAGGCUCUUUUAGAUAAGUCAAUGUCCACCAAAAUUUGUCGCAUAGUAUCUGAAAGCCCUAUUUCAUGUCGAGGCAUCCAAAUCUAUCAUAGUACCGACAACACUCGCAAUUUCCUUCGAAGCUCGUUCCCACCAUUGAUCAUUCUAAUAUUUAUCAUUCUAAUGAUGGGUACUAUUUUUUUUUAGAUGUGUUAUUUGAACAAUCCUUUGGUUGACAACUUAUUUGACAACUUAGUUUUACAAAGAAAAAAUAGGUAUUAACACGAAAACCAAAACAAAGAUAAGUAAAACAUAAUGUGAAUACGAGAGAGAAAGUUGUCAAAAAAAUUGUCACAAAUUCAUUUUUACACAUAUCAUUUAUCUUUUUUUUCUUUUCUUAAGGAAGCUAUUUUUUAUUGUUGAUAAUGGUCGUUUGUUUGGAUAAGACUGAGAUAUUGAUUCAUGCAAUAUUGAACUGCUAUGUUUGGAUAAGACUGAGAUAUAUAUUCCCAUUUAAAAGUGUUUUGUUUAACCAACACAUUAGCUUAUCCACUGGAAUAACCUUCACUUUAAAAAAACCUUAAUUAUUCUAAUGGUUGCUGGAAUAUGGUAACCACUCUGGCUACACAAUCGCACAUAGAAAUUGGUAGAGGAAUUACUGGGGUUAUUUUCCAGGAACAUUUUCGUUAAUUACCAUUAAUUAUUCUUAUGGAAGAGUACAUUUUCUACAAAUUCUACUUUCGAAAAUGCCAAACAACAAACACAUGAUUUUUUAUUGGGUUAAUAAUAGUGUUUUAACCCCUGUAAUUUAGGUCAUUUUCUAUUUUACCCUCUGUAAAAGUUUUUUUUUUUGGAUUUCUUCCUUGUAAUUUGAAAUUUUUUGAUUUUGGACCUUCAUCAAUUUUGACCGUACAAAAUCGAAGAUAUGAGGGGUAAACUGAAAUUUGCUCAAAUUACAAUGAAGGUAAACCUAAAUUUGCUCAAAUUACAAGCGGUGAAAUUUUUCAUGAAGAUCCAAAACCAAAAUUCCAUAACUUGAACCAAACACCGGUUAAUGUCCAAGUAUCCUUUAAAUAAUAAUACAUUUAAAUAAUUUAUAACUCAUUUUUUACCAAGUUGUACUUUUCUUUGCAGACCAAACCAAACGUGUGGAAUAUUUAAGGGGAAACAAUAGCGAAAAUUGUACGCAAUGUGACGGAAAGAGACAGAAGAAAGCAAUGAUUUUUCCUUUAAGGGGUAAACGAAACUAUAAAUACCAAGUUUUACACAUCAAAAGUUUCAAUUUCAAAACAUCGUACUACAACAACAAUUGUUAAGGUUCGAUAUACUAUACUACAAACAACAUCGUACUUUUCAUCUUCUAAACAUACUCACGCAACCAACAUUGAAUUUUUCAGCCUUUCAUAACUUGCAUUGUGUUUGUUAUUAGAUUACAACAAAGGAAGGAACAAAUUCAUGAGUAGCGCUACACACAUUAUUACCCUUACAACAAGAUUUCAAUUUCAUGAUGUCUUGAACAAAAUAUCUCAAAUACUUCAAAAAGCACGAAAGGAUUUAUCUCCUGUGGUUCAAGACAUAAAGCAAUACAAUGAUCAUUUGGAUCACCCCAGAGAGGAAAUAAAUAGUCUAAUAGAAGAAAAUGAUGCAGGAGAAAGUGCAUGCAAAUGUUCUUCUGAGAAUGAUUCCUAUGUUGUUGAUGAGAACCAAUCUCUUAUUGUAAAUGAUGUUGAAGAAACACUUUAUAAGCCAAGAGAAAUUCUUGAGCUUCUCAACCACGAAAAUCGGCCUCGUGACUUGUGGCGAAAGAUAGGGAAAGAACUAGCACAAGGUCAUUCUCUUCUUGAUUCUAAUACCAAAUUACUUAUUCGCCUCCAAAAGAUCUUUGAUGUUUUGGAAGAUAAUCCUACAAUCAUGGAGUGCUUCAUGGACAUAGCCUUAUUUCCCGAAGACCAUAGAAUUCCUGUCGCUGCUCUCGUUGAUAUGUGGGCAGAGCUGUAUAGACUAGAUGACAACGGAAUACAAGCAAUGGAAAUCAUCAACAAAUUAGGCAUCAUGAAUUUGGCUAAUGUCAUAAUACCAAGGUACUACGACUAUUAUUAUUAUUAUUAUAUUUUCUUCUAGGCUACUUAAAUUGUUAAAUAUCUCACAUGAAUGAUACUCUACAUAAAUCCUGUCAAAUAAUUUUUUAUCUUUUAAGUAACUAAUUAACCUCUGCUCAUUUACCAGGAAAAAUGCAAGUGACACGGACGAUAACAACUACAAUAAUCACUUCAUCAUCCUUCAUGAUAUUCUAAGAGAACUUGGAAUUUACCAAAGCACCAAGGAACCAUUUGAGCAAAGAAAAAGACUGAUUAUUGACAUUAAUAAAAAUAAAAGUGGGCUCGCGGAGAAGCAGCAAGGCUUGAUGACCUGUAUAUUGUCAAAGUUUAUGAGAUUGUGUGUUAAACGGAAUCCUCAACAGCUCACUGCCCGUAUAUUGUCGGUAUCAGCUGGUUAGUAAUACUUAUACUCCCUUUUUCUAACUUUGACCAUCUAAAAAAUGCUAUUGAAAUUUUUUUGCAAUCUGUUAUUCAUUCCUUUUCCGCAAUUGAUCGCUUGAUUUUCACAUUUGCAGAUGAAACAUGUGCGUUCGAUUGGUCUCAAAUGCAACCAGCUCAGGUCGAGGUUCUGAUUUUAAAUAUUCAUACCAAGCAGUACUCAUUACCCGAGUGGAUUGCAAAAAUGAGUAAACUAAGAGUUCUGAUAAUCACAAACUACGGUUUCCAUCCUUCUAAACUGAACAACAUUGAGCUUCUCGGUUCUUUACAGAACCUGGAAAGAAUCAGACUAGAGCGAAUUUCGGUCCCUUCCUUCGGCACAUUGAAGAAUUUGAAAAAACUAUCUCUCUACAUGUGUAACACAAUACUGGCUUUUGAAAAGGGUAGCAUCCUAAUUUCAGAUGCAUUUGCAAACCUAGAAGAAUUGAACAUUGAUUACUGCAAAGAUUUGGUGGUAUUUCCAACUGGUAUCUGUGAUAUCAUCUCACUAAAGAAGCUCAAUGUUACUAAUUGCCACAAGCUUUUUUCACUUCCCCAAGAUAUUGGAAAAUUGGAGAAUUUGGAACUUCUAAGCCUCAGUUCAUGUACUGACUUGGAAGCUAUACCGACUUCCAUUGGAAAGCUGUUAAAUCUAAGACAUCUUGACAUUUCAAACUGCAUCAGCCUUUCAAGUUUACCUGAGGAAUUUGGUAAUCUUUGCAAUCUAAGAAAUCUGUACAUGGCAAGUUGUGCAGGUAUUGAAUUGCCAUUCUCAGUUUUCAAUCUUCAGAAUUUGAAGACGAUAACCUGCGAUGAAGAGACGGCUGCUACAUGGGAAGAUUUUCAGCAUAUGCUUCCCAAUAUGAAGAUAGAGGUUCUUCAUGUUGAUGUUAACUUAAAUUGGCUUCUUUGAAUGACUUUUGUAUAGCAUAUAAUUAAAAUUCUUUUGUAAUAUUUUGUAAUUUCUUUUGUAUAAAUACAUGAUUUGUAUUAGCUAUUCUCAAUCAAUAUAUUCAAUUUUUAAUUUUAACUACUCAUUCUAAUGAUUUAUUUACAAGAUAAUAAGCUGGUAGUAUGCUUCUCCAGUUCUAAAAAGUUUUUCGUAGUCCUUAGGUUCCUUUUUUUUUGUUCCUUGUUUCUGAGUUCUUCAGUCAUAGAUCAAAGUCGGCUAGAAGCAGUUGAUCCUCAAAAUUUUCCAAGCAUGGUCUUAUUUGCUUUCCAUUGAAUGGAUCAAAAUACAACGAAGAAGGUGCUGCUUUCAAAGAACAAUGUGAAGUUUGUUAAUGGAGAUAUUUGAAAAUUAAAGCGCACUUGUUUUAAUUAGUUCUGUAAGAUGUUUCAACGUUUAUAACGUUCCCUUAAAUGUUCCAACAUCACGAAAUAAACAGAAAUCAAAACAAGAAAAUAAAUGACAAGAAAGUAAAGAACACUGUGAGUUUGUUGACCCAGUUCGGUAACAAACUCACCUACUCUGGGGGCUACCACGUCAGGAAGGAAAUCAACUAGUGUAGUCCGUAUUCUAUAGGACUCAACAAACUCCUUGUUUACUCGUAUAUACUUCAACCUAGGAACUCCUAGAUCUGAGAUCCCAUCUCUAUCUUAUGUUCAGUCACAGCCCCUGUGACCUAUCAGACCUAAGCACAAACUCAAGGAUGAAGUUAUCUUUAAACACAACAACUAACACCUUGCUUACAAGGUUUGGUGUAGUACACAAAAGUAUCAAACUCAACACACAGUCCUAAACAUGUAUCACAGACGAUACGAGAAAGGCUCACAAUAAAGGUUCUAAACUUGCAUCAGCAGGAUACAAGAGUAGAGCACAUGUAGACUCAAAAUCUUAAAAAUCUAAACUUUUAGAAUGACGGCUUGAAUAGUUCAUUAGGUCUUGAAGUCUCACUUAUAUUAUACUGAAGCAGCUCGGGUCAAAUACUUUAGUUGGGCUUCAGAACAAAGCAGAUCGGUUCAGCUAAUCUGCAAAACAGAAUCAGAGACAAAUAUGUAAAGUCCUAAAAUGUCGCUAGGAUCGUCCAAAUCAAUAACAAAUUUUUCCUAAAAAAUAAAUACUACUUUAGGAAUAUUCCACGACUGAUUCUGUAAAGAUAUGCGCGUUGCUUGAUCAAUAAGAUAAGGAAAUAUUGUUUCCUUAAACAAUAAAGGGCGCGCGUACAAAGAGACAUGACCUCAGGCACACUGAACUGUGCCAGGAUGUUGGAACAUAAUAUCCAACAUCUUACAGAGAUGCCUAAAUACAUGUUGGAACAUUGGUUCCAACAACACAAAUAAUAUUUAUUUUAGCAAUAAUGCAGCCAAUACAAAUACUCAACAAUAUUUUAUUUUCUGCUACACAUGAUUAAACAUAGGUGUUAUUAACAAUAUUAUGGUAGAUGCAUUUUCUAAGUCACAACAUAUAGAUAAUGCCAUGCAUUUGGAAAAUAAGCAACGGAUAUCUCAGUUCAAUCUUAAGCAAGUUUAGCAUCUUAGUUGUGUGGUGAGUCAGAAACACACUAAUAUACAACCAGACACAGUGCCUUUUGGUGGGGCGAGUCUUCUAUUAAAAAACGAACAGCCACUUCAAGUAUUUCCGCUUCCAAAUUUGCGUAUGGAUAAUAGAUAUUGGUGUGUCACCUUUUUUCCUUAAAUAUUGAACUCUGCAUUGGACCCAUAAAGGUUAUAUAAGUUUUUAUUCCCUUAUUUUUCAACAAUCAACCAAAUAUAUGGUGAGUCUAUCUCUGUGAUUGAUUCCUUCAUGGAAAAUAGGAUGCGUAUAUUGUUGAGUGCAAUUUGAAAACAUAUGUCUUAUCAUAUUGAUUAAAUGAUGUGGUAAUACAUGAUUAGAUGCAAUGUAAUACAGUAUAACACAAUUAUACAGGAAUGGCGCAUACAAAUUAAACCUUACACCCUAUUCAUAGCCGUGCCUUGUCUUAGCUUUUCUGGUCUUAACGUGCAUUACAUGCAGGGCCGUUCAUGAGAAUUCGGAGGCUCGGCUUUGAGAAUGAAAAAUUCAUUAAAGAAAGAAGAAAAAAGGAACAUAAAAAUUAAGUAAUGGGUGUUGAACCCAUGACCUAGAUAGUGCAAACUCCCAUUCAUUCCGCUCAGCUAUAUUUGCUUAUCCAAUUUUUUGAUCACGCCGCUUCUAUAUAUUAUUUAUUUACAUGCAGCAUAUAUAAAAAAAUAAAAUAAAAAUUGGGCCUCCAAAAUUUGGAGGUUCAGCGCAGUAGAGCUGUUUGCACCCCCUCAAGGCCGGCCCUGAUUACAUGUACAACAUUGACGACUCUUUAAAUCUAUUAGUCAUUCUUUAACGUUUGUACAAAGUCAUAAGUCACUUUACAGCGUCAAAUAUUAUUGUCAAUUUGUGCAUCAUGUAUGAGAAUAAUUUCCCAACAUCUUGGAAAAGUACCACAAACUUGUUGAAUGUUAACUUUACUCUAAAUUUUAUACAUAUGUGCUUAACUUGUUCAAUGUUAAGUCUACAAACUUCAAGAGGACUUUAAAGUAGAAUUGCUAGGAAACAUAUUUGAAAGAGAAUAAAGGACAUUAACUGCCGUUUGGUUCAAGUUAUGAGAUAUAAAAAUCAUGUGUUUGGCGUUUGGCAUUUUCGAAAGUACUAUUUGCAGAAAAUUUACUCCUCCAUAAGAAUAAUUAAUGGUAAUUGACCAAAAUGUUCCUGGAAAAUAAUUAACUCUAGUAAUUUCUCUACCAAUUUCUAUGUGUGAUUGUAUAGCCAGAGUGGUUACCAUAUUCCAGCAACUAUUAGGUAGUUUGGCAGUAAAUCAUCAUCGCAGUCAACUAUUAUUAAUGAUGAUGAUAAGGUUUUUUAAAGUGAAGGUUAUUCCAGCGGAUAAGUAAUGUGUUGAUUAAACAAAACACUUUUUCUAAAUGGGAAUAUAUAUCUCAGUCUUAUCCAAACAAAGGAGUUCAAUAUUGCAUGAAUCAAUAUCUCAGUCUUAUCCAAAAAAAAAAACGAUCUUUAUCAACAAUAAAAAUAGCUUCCUUAAGAAAAGAAAAUUCAAUUAAUGAUCUUUCAUGGUAAUUAAUGUCUUACAAGUCUCGUACGCUUAGCUCAACUGACAAAGAUAAUGCAUAGUAUCAAGGUUUGGGGUUCGAAUCCUAAACACCAUAAAAAAAAAUAAUAUCCAUCAAACUAGAAGGGCAAUUUGAUAUAUAUUUAAGUUUUUAUUUUUAUUUUAUAAAAAUAUGAUAUAUUUGUCCCGUAAGCAUUCAAUCGUUAACUAGAAGGACAAUAUUAUAUAGAGGUUGAAAAACCGCGUACUCUUCACUUAUUCACAUUUAAAUGUGAGUCAUUUUUUCUUUUACAAAAAAUGUGUGAGUCCUAUCCAUAAGGUAGUUGACCAAUUUUUUAUAUAUAUAUUUUUGAGAGGAUAUAUUUAUAUUAAUUCAUCAUCAAGAUUCGAGUCAAAUUUUUAAUAUACUAUCAUCAAUUUUUUUAGGAUAUUAUGACCAAAUUAUAUAUAUAUAUAUAUAUAUAUAUAUAUAUUUUUUUUUUUUUUCUUCCAAAAAGCUAAAAUAAAAUAUAUUAAAAAUCCUCCUCAUUAUGUACCAGAUGUGUCUAAAGAUAAUUAAUAUAAAGAGUCAAAAUAAUAAAGAUGAUGAAAGUAAGAAUAACUAUUACAAAGUUGUGGUGUAUCAUAAACAAAGUGAAAAAUUAAAUUGUUGCGCAUGACACCUAAAAUCUGCAGGAACAACCGUAAACAUGUCCAACCAGCGAUGAACGAGAUUCUAAAUACUACAAAAAAAAAUGUCAAACUCCCAGUAAAGAUGAUUAAACAUUUCCUCUUUGCCGCAACCGCAUAAGCACUAAACCAAGUUGGACAAAAUUACUCCUCUCCGCACUAAAUUGUCCUUUGUAUGAAUUCUCUUGUUAAAUGUUCGCCAUACACACACUGAUUUACUUCAAACUACAUAUGAAUAAAUCUCAUUAGGAAGCUGAUCUGCACCCAUAAGAAUAUAUGAUAGACAUCUUUUACUGAGUAUUCUUCAAUAGGGUCCUGUUUCCAAAAUCAUUUGUCAUUAAUAUCAACCUGCAAAAUAAAUACCACCAAGCAGUUUAGUAAAAUCUACCACCGCGCGAACAACCUACUUCUCCACCGCCACCCCUCCUCGUCGACCUCCCAACCUGGCCUCCUCAUAUCAGCAACAGUAACAUUAGGUUCCACACUUAGCUCAAACAGACGCGAAAAUCCUAUCCCGCAUUACCCCACCAUCUAACCACAUAUCACUUCAAAAGGUAGAAUUUUCACCAUUUUCAACUCUACAACCCACCCAUCUCUAAAUCAACAUGUGUCACUGCCGCUCUCUCCCUCACAAAUAUCACACACAUUUUUCUACCACACCGAAAAUAAUUUACCCCUUCCAUUAACCCGGCCUCCCUCCAACCCGUAUUUCUCAAAAAUGCUAAAUUAAACUCCUUGAUCCUCCUGUCCUUAAAACCUCUAUACCCUCCUUACUAGAACACACCUUGUCCCAAUUUAUCUAGUGAAUUUUGCAAGCUUCCUCACCCCUUCCCCCCCACCCAUUUAAAAAGACAUUCAAUGAAAGAUAUGCUACAUGUGGGAGCUUUGAAGAAGGAAAGAAAAUAAACUAGUAAUGAUGACAAGAAAGAUUUGAUGAGCACAAGACAACUGACCAUGGAUAGGCUUUUACUCAUUUAUUACGCACAUUCUCAAUUAACCGAAUCCUAAAUAACAGACGCCUCGGGUCCUCACCAAUGUGAGGCCCUAAGUACACAAACGAAAUAUGACUAAUCUUAAAAUUAAAAACAACAUGAGCUUCUACAAACCAAAAAUCAAAAACAUUCACACCAACCAAUAUGCUUUUGCGAAAAUUCACCUUCAAACCUGAAACGAGUUAAACAGUAUCAAAGUUGCCUUUUUAAUGUCUGAAUAUUUCCCCAAUUCUUUUCUCCUAAGAUCAAACUUAUCAUCACCAAAACUGAAGGAAACAAGAGAGAGAAGCUCUUUUCUCUCUUCACCCUCUCCUUCACUUCCGACCUACCACCACCUCCACUCCGUCUCUCUCUCUCUUCUCCUUCAACAUCCAAACAUUACUACCCUCAUGUAGCUGCACGCGUCGGUGGUGCGAUUGGCGGAAGCUCCAUCGCGUCACCACCUCAACACCCCUUUUGGAUUGUUACUGCCGGUGAUUCCUCUGUCAACGAUAUGUUUUCGUUCUUGGAUCUGGGCUUUCCGUUUUUGGUGGUUUCAAACGGACGUGGUUGGCUGUUAACCACCGUCGUCGUCGUGUUUUAGUUGUUCUACCGUCGUGUUUUCUGUUGUAUUUUUUGGAUCUAUUUUAGUGGUUUCACUGUUGGUUUUGGUAAGACAUAUUUGUGUGGUGUGCUCCAUAAUCCGGAUCUGGUUUUUUAGUUGGGGUUUUGCUGUACAGAUCAGUGACAGUGUGCCGCUGGAUUUGUUGGUGGUGUUCGAUCAUGACUGCUCAGUUGCCUGCAGUUCCUUCACGAUUAAUCCUCCUUCGCAACUUCCGGAUCAUUGUCGUUGUAAGGAUCGUGGUGGUAUUGUGGUUGUCUUGCCGGUGGUUGUGGUGUGUGCCGGUCUAUUCAGAUUCAGUUUGGCUUUUUGCUUGUUUGGAUGCCAGACUCCCACUUUUUUCGAGAUUGCCGUGUUUUGGUGGUGCGUGUGGUGGUUAGUGGUGGUGGUUAUGGGUGUUUUGUGUUUGGAUUCUAGGCAUUUUUUGGGUGAUUGGUGUUAGGGUGGUGAUGUUUUAGAGGCUUUUAGACAUGUUUGUAGGGAAUGGUGGUGUCGUGCUGCUGCCUUUGGAGAUGUUCAAGUGGUGGUGAUGGAGGAUGAUUUUGUGGCUUGUUUUUUUGGUUUGUUUGUGUAUGUUGGUUCAAUUUGUGCUAUUGUUCCACCUUGUCUCUGUCUUACGAAUUUGUCAUCUGGAUAAUGAUGGGCUGAUCGCUUUUGCUUCGAGAUUAGAAGUUAGAGUCUAGCUGUCAAGUUGUUGGAUAAGUUGAGGUGUAUGCUCUGGUGGUUCGAGAGUUUAGGAGUCUGGUGGGCCGAUCACUUUUGAUUCGAGAUCAGGAGCCAACUUUUUGACUUAGGUCUUUUUAGGUUUAUUUUGGUGUCUUCUCCGAUUGACUAGAAGUUGAUUGGUGGUCGAAUCUGAACAUUUGAAACAACAAAUCAUUAUCUGGUGCUUAUUUGUUAGGGGUUUCAGCAUGUACGAUGGUGUUGAUGGUUUUCGCUGAUUGGUUUUGGUGUUGCUUUUGGGUUUGGAGAUUUGUUUUUAUUAGGGUUGAUGUUAGCCUUAGGUGGUAUUGUGUAUGUAUUGGUGUUUAUGUUGUACUUUUCUUUAGGUGUUCUGCCUAUAUACGGUACCUUUUGAUGUACUUUUGGUGUUAUACCGAUCUCUGUUCGUCUCGUGCGGAGAUCUGGUUUAUUAAUAAAUUUUGCUGUUUCAAAAAAAAAAAAAGACACACACAAACAUAAUGACUUAUUUUAUCAUAAUAACAAUAAAUUUUAAUUAUCAACUAUAAUAAUUUUUUUUAAGUAGUCUAGUGGCUAGAAAUUAAUCUUUUAUUGGGUGAAUAAAUGGGGUCUUCGAGGUUUAAACUCCAACGUCUGCAUAUAUUAUGCAGCGUCCCUACCAAUUGAGUUAAGUUCACGAGAACAAAUUAAAUUCCUUUCUAAAUUUCUAUAAUGAAAAUAUUAAAUUUUUCCUUAUAAUUCUUUAAAAUUAUGUAAAUUGGUCCUUAUAAAUUUUCUAAAAAUUGUAAAUUAAAUCCUUUAAAUUUAAAAAAAAUUUAAAUUGCUCCUCUUGUUUUAUAUCUUUAAAAAUUUGUAAAUUGGUCCUGAAAUUUUAAAAUAUUUAGAAUCCGUCCCUAUUUUUCAUAAAUUUUAUAAAAACAACAGAACAAAGUUUAACAAUGAAGAAUUGUUUUACUCCACCGAUACAAAAAUAAUUAGAAAUGAAAGAAAUUCAAUUAAAGCAUUUGAAUUGUCUAAAAUUUUCAUUUUUAGGUUAUGAUUCUGUAACUUAGGAACAACUGCAUGAGUUGAGCAAAGACUAUGUUAUGUCAUGAGUUGAGCAAAGACUAUGUUAUGUCAUGAGUUGAGCAAAGACUAUGUUGCCUAGUUCUAGGAACAAAACAUUGGAACCAUUGCCGGUGCCAUUGGAACCAUCGUUUCUCUUUGUAUCGAAGAAGCCUUGAACCAUUGGAGCCUUCCUCGAGUUGACUAAGCACUUGACAACUACAAGGACAAUAAUGAUGAAGGGUGAUCCUAUCUGCUUAUGUCACUCCUUCUUGUAAAGAACCCAACAAAUACUAGACAUGGUCUCUAUAUUAAGCUAUCAUGGCCGAUCGUCAAAGUGGAGGAGAAACAACGUUAGUCUCAUUUGGUCAAAGCAUUUAGUACUAAACCACAAGAUGUUAGAGUGUUAUUGGAUCUAGAUUACAAGGGAGCUUAAAAAGACUUUAUGAUUAAAAAAAAAAAAAUCAUCUGGUAUUUAAUUAAAACUUUUAUAAAAUUGUUGGCCUGUAUUUCUAAGGAUGUGUUUGGUUUGGAAGAGAAGUUGAGAAGAGAGAAUUAGGUAAGAGAGAGUAUUAAAAGAGAGAAAAAGAUGACAAAUAUAGUAUAUUUGAAUUAUUGUUUGGUAUAAAAAGAAAGAGAAAAGAGAGAAGUAUAAUUGUAUUUUAAAUUGACAAUAGUAUCCUUUAACUCGUAAAAGAUGUUUGAAUUACAACUCUCUCCCCCGUCUUAUGUUAAAAUGUACACUCCCCUCUUAUUCAAAAUAUAUUAAAAACAUUUUCACUCCCCUCCCUUAAGAGAAACUUGAAUUGCAUUCUCCUCCCCUCUUAUGUUAAAAUCUACACUUUACUCCCUCAAUUUUUUUUUUUUUUUUUUUUUUUAUAUCUAAUAAUCUAACACACUUCCAAAAAAAUAGCAUUGCGCGUCUAUUUUAAUAUAAUAAAAUUAAAAUAUGUGAAAAAUUACUAAAGACAAUAAAGCAUGGUUAUUUAAAGGUUAAUUUUAUACUCUAAAUUAUAAAAUCAAUACCAAAAUAUUUAAAUUUAAUUAUCAUUGACAUUUAAAUUAUAAAGAAAUGAAUUAAUUUUUCUUAAAUGGUGGUUCAAAUUAAUAUAUAUCAUAAAAAUAUUUAUUUAUGUUAAAAUUGAUUAAAGUGUAGUGCAUAUUUAAUUAUUAAGGGAGGUGGUUGUAAUUCAAUCAUUUUAUAAAGGAGGGGGUAUAAAUUUUAUUUUUUAAGGGAGAGGAAUGUAUAUUUUAAUACAAGAGAGGAGAGGAGUGUAAUUCAAGCAUCUUUGAGGGGAUGUGAGUGUAAUGUACUCUUUAAUUUUUGUCUUUUAUGAGGCUUAUAAUGGAAAACCAUGGGCCGGAGUUCUUUCUCCACUCUUUUGCUCCAUCAACGGAGAAAUUGAUUUUUAUGUGGAACCCAUCUACUUUUAGCCUUUCUCUCUUGUAUUUUGCUCUUGCUCCAAACACAAUGGCUUUACUCUCUCCCCCCUAUUUUCCUCUCACAUUGCUCUUUCCUCUAUCUCUCUUGUUCCAAACACACCAUAAGUGUUUGUUUUCGACAUGAUAUAGUAUUUGUCGAAAGAAGUUUUUCUUCAGAUAUAGACUUAAUAAAUGCAUUCGACAAGGUUUGAUGAAAAUUAACAUUUUCAAGUCUUUUGAGUUCGACUAGAAGGAAUCCAAAUACUGUUUGAAGAGGCAAGAUCAAAGGUCCAGGCACGUGGAAAGUAAAUCAAGUCUGUCGAAAACAUAUGGUUUAGGACCAUUGGUUUGUUAGUUAUUUUUCUUAUGUAUAGCUUUUCAUAACAAAAAAGGGUCAUGAAUUAUUAUCAGAGUUCUCAUACUCGAAUCAUCCAGCAUAGAGAGAAAAGAGUAACACAAAAUGUAUGUAACAUGAGUUUUUAGUUGUAUAUUCUGUGGAGUGGAUUUCUUUUUAGAGUUUUUAGUUAAACAUAAAAAUACAACACUGAUUCAAUAAUCUCACAUUUUGAUUAGAAUAAGGUAACUUGUGAGACUUUGAGACUCUCUGCAAUUUAUUUUAGUUGUCUCUCUAAAGAUACCAUAUGCAUUGGCUCUCAUUAUUAUUUUUAUUUCCUUUCAGUUUUUUCUUAUUCUAUUUUGACAUUUUUGACGUUUAAAUCAUAUCCUCUCAUUUUAUUUCACGGGAAAUGUUAAACAGUUCCCUUAUAACAUUUGUUAAAGAAACAAAACUAGAAAUUUUAUUUAAAAAAUGGUGUAUUCAACCUAAGUCAUCUUUUGAAAAGUUUAAAAUUUAAGGUUAAUUAAGUAAAUGGUCUCUAUAAAUAUUCAUAAUUUUAUUUUUAGUCCUUAUAAAAUAAAAUCGCACUUUUUAGUCCUUGUAAAAAAUUUAUUCAACAUUUUUUGUCCCUGUAAAAUUUUCCAUCAACAUUUUUAGUCCUUAUAAAAAUUUUACGUCCGCAUUUUCGAUCCUUAAAAUGUUAAAGAAAAAUGUCACAGAAACUAAAAAGUGUGAUUUUAUUUUGUAGGGGACUAAAAACAAAAUUCUGAAUAUUUAUAAGAACCGUUUACUUAAUUAAUCUUAAAAUUUAUAAUUUUCAAUGCAAAGUUUACAUUUUUUGUAUGCUUAACUAGUAAGUAUCUUAGACACUUGUUAGCAUCACAUUUAUUUUAUUUUGAUGUUUUUUUUUUUUUUUCCGGUUCUCUUCUUAUGUAUUGUUUUGUCCAAGUUCAAUGUUUUAUGUUCAACGAUUUUUACAUUCACUUCCUCAAAAAAAUAAAAUUACAUUCACAUUGCUCUCGUUUUAUUGUCGACGCCUAUAUAUGGUGGAAAUGGCUUGGUAUUAGAAUAAAAAAAAAUGGCUUUGGUGACUAAUGUUACACGUCAACAUAAAUAAACUCAAUUUUUAAUGGCUGAAAGUUACCAAGUUCUUUUCUUUCAGCCCAAGCAAAGCAACGUGUUACCGUGUCACGCAAUGCGGCGGAAAGAGACAAGAAGAAAACAAAAGAUAAUUCUCUUCCUGGCCACUACUAUAUAAAUACAUUACAUGCAUGUUAUGUUAGUUUCAAUUUCAUAUCAUCGUACUACAGCAAUACUUCUGAGUUUCAAUUUCACUUCUUGCAUAGCUAAAGAACACGGACAGGCAAAAACAUAAUCACCAAAUCAAAGGUUCGAUAUAUUGUACUGUGGAAAUUAUUGUUCUAUUUGACUUUUUUUCUUUUCUUUUGAAAGAGUUCUAUAUAUUUGGGGAAAUUUACGAAGUGUAUUAUGACAAGUUUAUAUGCUAAGCCAUGUUUUCAGCAAAUUCGAUAAACUCUUAUGAAAACAUAUCAUAUACAGGUUGCCUUAAGCAUGGACGGAAGAGGCGAGUGCCCAUGACAUUGUUUUGAUAAGAGCACCAAUAUUAUUUUUGUUUUAUUUAAUAGUUAACAAUAUAUACGUAUAUUAUUUUAAUUCACUUUGAUUAAUUUUAUUGAAAAUAUUUUUAUAAAAACAUUGAUUAUGAAUAAGGGGUUGUAUUGGAUUUUUUUUUUUGAAGUUGGAUUUUUUUUGAAGAAAUCAAAAUUAUAUAUAACAAAAAAAAUUGGCUACCUUUCCGGCACAAGGUUUAUCAAAGAAAGGACAAUUUUUAUUUAAAAAAGUCUUAAGGAUUUUAAAAGACUCUGCAGAAUUUUAAUGACUUUGAUGGUUUUAAAAGACUAUCAAGAUUUACAAUUUGAAUUUCAAUGAAUUUAACUCAUGGUCACCUUAACUCAUAAGAUUUUAAAGAAUUUGAAAUGAUUUUAUGGAUUUCAAAUUUUUUUACGAAUUUUAAUUAAGCACUCAUUGCAAAAAUAAUGAUCAUAACACACUCUAUUUUACAAUAUUCUCAAUAGAGACUCUUUUAUUAAUAAAGAUAUUUUAAUAAUUAAAAUGACACAACUUUAUUGAUUCGCUAAGAACAUAAAUAAUCUUAAGAUUGUCCUGAUAAGUGAUAAUAUCAUCAAUUAUAGAGUAAAAUUAUACUCCCCUCCCCUUAAUGUUGCUUGAAUUACACUUCACUCCUCUCUUAUGUUAAAAUAUACAUUACCCUCUCAUCUUAUUCAAAACAUAUUAGAAAAUAUCUCACUCCUCUCCCCUAAGAGAAACAUGAAUUACAUUCUCCGCCCCUCUUAUGUUAAAAUCUACACUUUACUCCCUCAUUAUAUAUUUUUUAUUUCUAAUAAUAUUGCAAAUUAAUAAUAAUCUAACACACUUCGAAAAAAUAUAGUAUUGCAGGUCUAUUUUAAUAUAAUCAAAAUUUGAAUACAUAUUUUUUCUAUUUUUUAUUCAAAAUUUCAUUAACAUAAAGUUUUAACCCCUAUUAUAAAAUAUGAAACAACCCAAAAUAAAAUUAAAAUAUAUAAAAAAUUCCUAAAGACAAUAAAUUAUGGUUAUUUAAAAGUUGGUUUUAUGCUCUAAAUUAUAAAAUUAAUAGCAAAAUAUUUAAAUUUACUUAUCAUUGACAUUUAAAUUAUACAUAAAUGAAUUUAUUUUUCUUAAAUGGUGGUUCAAAAUUAGUAUAUAUCAUAAAAAUAUUUAUUUAUGUUAAAAUAGAUUAAAGUGUAGUGUAUAUUUAUUUAUUAAGGGAUGGAGUUGUAAUUCAAGCAUCUUACAUGGAGAGGAGUAUAAAUUUUAAUUUUCAAGGGAGGAGAUUGUAUAUUUUAACAUAAGAGGGAGUGUGUGUAAUUUAAACAUCUUUUAAGGGGAAGGAGUGUAAUUUACUCUAACUUAUAUUCAAAAGAGAUUGCCUUUAUUUUAUCUUUUACUUCCGGAGUAAUUUUUACGUAAAACACUUAUUUGAUAUGUAUUUAUGUUAUGUUAUGUUAUGAACGCUUAUGCAACCAUGAGUUUUUGUGCCGUUCAUAACUUGUUUUCCUUGUUUGUUUGAAUCAGAGGAAGGAAUCAAAUUCAUGAGUAGCGCCACGACACAUAUUAUUACCCUUACAACAAGAUUUAAUGAUGUCUUGAACAAAAUAUCUGAAAUAGUUGAAACAGCACGAAAGAACCAAAGUUCAAGGCUAUUGUUUAGGUUAAUCUUAAAGGAUUUAUCUCCCGUUGUACAAGAUAUAAAGCAUUACAAUGAACACUUGGAUCAACCCAGAGAAGAAAUAAAUAGUUUGAUAGAAGAAAGUGCAUGCAAAUCUUCUUUUGAGAAUGAUUCCUACGUUGUUGAUGAGAACCAAUCUCUUAUUGUAAAUGAUGUCGAAGAGACACUUUACAAGGCCAGAGAAAUUCUUGAGCUUCUCAACCACGAAAAUCCAAAAUUCACUGUUGGGUUGGAUAUACCAUUUAGCAAGUUGAAAAUGGAGCUUCUGAGGGGUGGUAGCUCCACACUUGUGUUGACUGGUUUAGGAGGAUUGGGGAAAACCACUCUGGCUACAAAGCUUUGUUGGGAUGAAGAAGUUAAUGGUAAGUCAUAAAUCCUUUUUGCCUUAUCUCAUGCAUGUUUGGAUUAGCAGUGUGUUAGACAGAAUCAUGAAAACUUGAAAGAAAAAAUUACGCUGCCACCAUAAUUUUGCCAAAUUCAAUUUGAUUCUAAACAUGAACUUAUACAUGAAUUAUAUAUAUCAUUGCCUUAGAUGGUACUCAAUAAUAUAUGGAUGUUUUUUUAGUAAAGAAUGGAUGGAAAUAAGGACAUAAGAAUUUUUUCAUAUAAAUAUUUCUUAUGUGUAGAGCAGCUUAAAGCGGUAUUCAUGCUCGCUGAUUGUAGAUAGUUUGUCCUUAGAGAAUAUUAUGUUUAGGAGCAGUUCAUUAUUUUCCAAAUUACAUCAUAGGAAAACAUUGUAGGCAUCUUCUAUCCUCUGCAAAUGUUGAUUUAACAUAUUAAAGAAGCAUUUUUCUUUGAAUUAGAUUAAUUAACUUUCUUUUCUGUCAAGUGUUCAUUUAGUUGAGCAUAUUAAAUGUAAAAGACAUUAACUUUUUUUGUCUUACAAUCUGUCUUUGGUUUUACUAGGUAAAUUCAAGGAAAACAUUAUAUUUGUCACCUUCUCAAAAACACCCAUGCUGAAGACUAUUGUAGAGAGAAUACAUCAACAUUGUGGAUAUUCAGUGCCUGAGUUUCAAAGUGAUGAAGAUGCAGUCAAUAAGUUAGGACUUUUGUUGAAGAAAGUUGAGGGAAGUCCACUAUUGUUGGUUCUGGAUGAUGUUUGGCCAAGCUCAGAAUCUCUUGUUGAGAAACUUCAAUUCCAGAUGACAGGUUUCAAAAUUCUGGUGACUUCAAGGGUUGCAUUUCCGAGGUUUAGCACAACAUGUAUCUUAAAACCUCUUGCUCAUGAAGACGCAGUAACGCUUUUCCAUCACUAUGCUCAAAUGGAAAAAAACAGUUCAGAUAUUAUCGACAAAAAUCUUGUAGAAAAGGUACUUGUUCUUACUUUCUUACAUAUGAGCGUUAUCUAUUAUGUAGCAUCGACACACUUCAGAUUGAAGUCACAUAGAAAGACGCCUAGUUAUAAUCAUUUGAUUACUGACCAUACUCGCUUGCAAUGAAUUGCAGGUCGUUAGAAGUUGCAAUGGUUUACCGCUUACCAUUAAAGUAAUUGCUACAUCACUCAAAAAUCGGCCUCAUGACUUGUGGCAUAAGAUAGUGAAGGAACUAUCACAAGGUCAUUCAAUUCUUGAUUCUAAUACCGAAUUACUUACUCGCCUCCAAAAGAUCUUCGAUGUUUUGGAAGAUAAUCCAAAAAUCAUGGAGUGCUUCAUGGACCUAGCCUUAUUUCCCGAAGACCAUAGAAUUCCUGUCGCUGCUCUCGUUGAUAUGUGGGCAGAGCUGUAUAAACUAGAUGACAACGGAAUACAAGCAAUGGAAAUCAUCAACAAAUUAGGCAUCAUGAAUUUGGCUAAUGUCAUAAUACCAAGGUACUACGACUAUUAUUAUUAUUAUUAUAUUUUCUUCUAGGCUACUUAAAUUGUUAAAUAUCUCACAUGAAUGAUACUCUACAUAAAUCCUGUCAAAUAAUUUUUUAUCUUUUAAGUAACUAAUUAACCUCUGCUCAUUUACCAGGAAAAAUGCAAGUGACACGGACAAUAACAACUACAAUAAUCACUUCAUCAUCCUUCAUGAUAUUCUAAGAGAACUUGGAAUUUACCAAAGCACCAAGGAACCAUUUGAGCAAAGAAAAAGACUGAUUAUUGACAUGAAUAACAAUAAAAGUGGGCUCGCGGAGAAGCAGCAAGGCUUGAUGACCCGUAUAUUUUCAAAGUUUAUGAGAUUGUGUGUUAAACAAAAUCCUCAACAGCUUGCUGCCCGUAUAUUGUCGGUAUCAACUGGUUAGUAAUACUUACCUUCCUCUAAAUUUGACCAUCUAAAAAUGCUAUUGAAAAAUCUGUUGCAAUCUGUUAUUAAUUCCUUUUCUGCAAUUGAUUGCGUGAGUUUCACAUUUGCAGAUGAAACAUGUGCGUUGGAUUGGUCUCAUAUGCAACCAGCUCAGGUCGAGGUUCUGAUUUUAAAUAUUCAUACCAAGCAGUACUCAUUACCCGAGUGGAUUGCAAAAAUGAGUAAACUAAGAGUUCUGAUAAUCACAAACUACGGUUUCCAUCCUUCUAAACUGAACAACAUUGAGCUUCUCGGUUCUUUACAGAACCUGGAAAGAAUCAGACUAGAGCGAAUUUCGGUCCCUUCCUUCGGCACAUUGAAGAAUUUGAAAAAACUAUCUCUGUACAUGUGUAACACAAUACUGGCUUUUGAAAAGGGUAGCAUCCUAAUUUCAGAUGCAUUUCCAAAUCUAGAAGAAUUGAACAUUGAUUACUGCAAAGAUUUGGUGGUAUUGCAAACUGGUAUCUGUGAUAUUAUCUCAUUAAAGAAGCUCAAUGUUACUAAUUGCCACAAGCUUUCUUCACUUCCCCAAGAUAUUGGAAAAUUGGAGAAUUUGGAACUUCUAAGCCUCAGUUCAUGUACUGACUUGGAAGCUAUACCGACUUCCAUUGGAAAGCUGUUAAAUCUAAAACAUCUUGACAUUUCAAACUGCAUAAGCCUUUCAAGUUUACCUGAGGAAUUUGGUAAUUUGUGCAAUCUAAAGAAUCUGGACAUGGCAACUUGUGCAAGUAUUGAAUUGCCAUUCUCAGUUGUCAAUCUUCAGAAUUUGAAGACGAUAACCUGCGAUGAAGAGACGGCUGCUACAUGGGAAGAUUUCCAGCAUAUGCUUCACAAUAUGAAGAUAGAGGUUCUUCAUGUUGAUGUUAACUUAAAUUGGCUUCUUUGAAUGACUUUUGUAUAGCAUAUAAUUAAAAUUCUUUUGUAAUAUUUUGUAAUUUCUUUUGUAUAAAUACAUGAUUUGUAUUAGCUAUUCUCAAUCAAUAUAUUCAAUUUUUAAUUUUAACUACUCAUUCUAAUGAUUUAUUUACAUGAUAAUAAGGUGGUAGUAUGCUUCUCCAGUUCUAAAAAGCUUUUCGUAGUCCUUAGGUUCCUUUUUUUUUUUGUUCCUUGUUUCUGAGUUCUUCAGUCAUAGAUCAAAGUCGGCUAGAAGCAGUUGAUCCUCAAAAUUUGCCAAGCAUGGUCUUAGUUGCUUUCCAUUGAAUGGCUCAGAAUACAACGAAGAAGGUGCUGCUUUCAAAGAACAAAGUGAAGUUUGUUAAUGGAGAUAUUUGAAAAUUCUAGCACACUUGUUUUAAUAUGUUUUGUAAGAUGUUUCAAUAUUUGUAAUGUUCCGUUCAAUGUUCCAACAUCACGAAAUAAACAGAAAUCAAAACAAGAAAAUAAAUGACAAGAAAGUAAAGAAUACUGUGAGUUUGUUGACCCAGUUCGGUAACAAACGCACCUACUCUGGGGGCUACCAAGUCAGAAAGGAAAUCCACUAGUGUAGUCCUUAUUCUAUAGCUCUCAGCAAACUCCUUGUUUACACUAAAGACCUAGAACCUACCCGUAUAUACUUCAAUCUAGGAACUCCUAGAUCUGAGAUAUCAUCUCACUAUCAUAUGGUCAGUCAGAGCCCCUAUGACCUAUCAGACUUAAACACAAACUCAAGGAUGAAGUUACCUUCAAACACAACAAGUAACACCUUGCUUACAAGCUUUGGUGUAGUACACAAGAGUAUCAAACUCAACACACAGUCCUAAACAUGUAUCACAGACGAUACGAGAAAGGCUCACAAUAAAGAUUCUAAACUUGAAUCAACAUGAUACAAGAGUAGAGCACAUGUAGACUCAAAACCUUAAAAAUCUAAACUUUUAGAAUGACGGCUUGAAUAGUUGAUUAGGUCUUGAAGUCUCACUUAUAUUAUACUAAGCAGCUCGGGUCAAAUACUUUAGUUGGGCUUCAGAACAAAGCAGAUCGGUUCAGCUAAUCUGCAAAACAGAAUCAGAGACAAAUAUGUAAAGUCCUAAAAUGUCGGAACAUCUCUAGGAUCGUCCAAAUCAAUAACAAAUUUUUCCUAAAAAAUAAAUACUACUUUAGGAAUAUUCCACAACUGAUUCUGUAAAGAUAUGCGCAUUGCUUGAUCAAUAAGAUAAGGAAAUAUUGUUUCCUUAAACAAUAAAGGGCGCACGUACAAAUAGGCAUGAACCCAGACACACUGAACUGUGUCAGGAUGUUGGAACAUAAUAUCCAACAUCUUACAGAGAUGCCUAAAUACAUGUUGGAACAUUGGUUCCAACAACACAAAUAAUAUUUAUUUUAGCAAUAAUGCAGCCAAUACAAAUACUCAACAAUAUUUUAUUUCAGCUACACAUGAUUAAACAUAGGUGCUAUUAACAAUAUUAUGGUAGAUGCAUUUUCUAAGUCACAACAUAUAGAUAAUGCCAUGCAUUUGGAAAAUAAACAACGGAUAUCUCAAUUCAAUCUUAAGCAAGUUUAGCAUCUUAGUUGUGUGGUGAGUCAGAAACACACUAAUAUACAACCAGACACAGUUCCUUUUGGUGGCGAGUCUUCUAUUAAAAAACGAACAGCCACUUCAAGUAUUUCCCCUUCCAAAUUUGCCUAUGGAUAAUAGAUAUUGGUGUGUCACCUUUUUUCCUUAAAUAUUGAACUCUGCAUUGGACCCAUAAAGGUUAUAUAAGUUUUUAUUCCCUUAUUUUUCAACAAUCAACCAAAUAUAUGGUGAGUCUAUCUCUGUGAUUGAUUCCUUCAUGGAAAAUUGGAUGCGUAUAUUGUUGAGUGCAAUUUGAAAACAUAUGUCUUAUCAUAUUGAUUAAAUGAUGUGGUAAUACAUGAAAAAUUAAUUAAAGAAAGAAGAAAAAAGGAACAGAAAAAUUAAGUAAUGGGUGUUGAACCCAUGACCUAGAUAGUGCAAACUCCCAUUCAUUCCGCUCAGCUAUAUUUGCUUAUCCAAUAUUUUUAUCACGCCGCUUCUAUAUAUUAUUUAUUUACAUGCAGCAUAUAUAAAAUAAAAAAAAAAAAUUGGGCCUCCAAAAUUUGGAGGCUCAGCUCAGUAGAGCUGUUUGCACCCCCUCAAGGCCGGCCCUGAUUACAUGUACAACAUUGACGACUCUUCAAAUCUAUUAGUCAUUCUUUAACGUUUGUACAAAGUCAUAAGUCACUUUACAGCGUCAAAUAUUAUUGUCAAUUUAUGCAUCAUGUAUGAGAAUAACUUCCCUACAUCUUGGAAAAGUACCACAAACUUGUUGAACGUUAACUUUACUCUAAAUUUUAUACAUAUGUGCUUAACUUGUUCAAUGUUAAGUCUAGAAACUUCAAGAGGACUUUAAAGUAGAAUUGCUAGGAAAAAUAUUUGAAAGAGAGAAUAAAGGACAUUAACUGGCGUUUGGUUCAAGUUAUGAGAUAUAAAAAUCAUGUGUUUGGCGUUUGGCAUUUUCGAAAGUACUAUUUGCAGAAAAUUUACUCCUCCAUAAGAAUAAUUAAUGGUAAUUGACCAAAAUGUUCCUGGAAAAUAAUUAACUCUAGUAAUUUCUGUACCAAUUUCUAUGUGCGAUUGUAUAGCCAGAGUGGUUACCAUAUUCCAGCAACUAUACAUAUUACGUAGUUUGGCAGUAAAUCAUCAUCGCAGUCAACUAUAUACAUAUCAAGGAUGAUAAGGUUUUUUAAAGUGAAGGUUAUUCCAGUGGAUAAGUAAUGUGUUGAUUAAACAAAACACUUUUUUUAAAUGGGAAUAUAUAUCUCAGUCGUUAUAAGACAAAGUGCGAAAUGAAAAAUUCUCCACACCCGGUCUUACAACCAAAUCCGCCUUGUAAUGAGAUACAAAUUGAGAAAAAACAGCUUGCCGAACCUGAGACACACCUUCCACAUGCGGCCCCAUUCACCAUAAAAGAAGAAAUAUUGUUACUGCGGCGCCCCUGCGAUAUACAACCAUGAAAGAACUUAGAAUUCGCAUCACCUUUAGAGUGGCGGAGCCCUUCAUGAGCUGGGAUGGGCUACGACCCACUCGAAAAAAAUUAAAAAAUUAACGACGAUAGGUCUACUUUAUGAAAUUUUAAACAAUUUUGCUACAAUUUUAGUGUUUGGUAGAUCCAAAUUCGCACUAAUUGGUUUAGUGGUCCAGCUCGAAAAUUAUAAAGUUAAAAAUUAUAGGUCUAUUUUGUGAGUUUUAAAUAAUUUUUCAACAGUUUAGGUUUUCGGCGGUUUCAAAGCUGACAUAUGUGAUUUUUUUUUCAUGAUUAUACUUGCCUGGUUAGCAGAGGUUUACAUACCUUCUAUUUUUUUUGGAUUUCAAAUCUUUUUGAUAUUGACUUGUCAAAUGAAAAUUCCCCCAAUUAAAAGUUGCAUCGUAUAAAAAAAAAAAAAAUCAUAAUAUAUAGCAUUGCUAUGUAAUUUAUUUUUUUAAAACUUUUACCCAAACGUUUUAGUCAAAUUUUGCAAUUUCAACUUUAUCCUUAAAGCUUAUUACUGCUUUCACCCAACCGACUCAUAGAUUUACAGUCUCCCCUAAACACGUAAAACUGCAGCCUACAAGUGGAAGAUCAACUAGCACAGAUGUAUCUAUAAAAUCCUAUAAUUUUAUUGGAUUUUAAUAAUUACGGAUAAUGAGAGAGGAGGAAGAAGGUUUUUUUUUUUUUUUUGGUUAGAGAAGCUAAUAAGGGGGAAGAAGGUUUGCGUCCAUGUAUGUUUUUUAAAUUUUCUUUUAAAAUUAAUUAAAUUAUAACAAAAAAAACUUUAACCAAAAAUAAUGACACAGUAAAAUAUGACACAUAAGCGCCAUGUCAUUAAUGAGAGUCACAUAUUACCCAAAUUGAUGGGGUCUAAAGAAACUUAAUACUACCUCCGUCCCUAAUUAUAAGACUUUUUUGAGAAAUUUUUUGUCCCUUUUUAUAAGACUCAUUUGCUAUUUUCAACUACAUUAAUUAUUUCUUUACAUACAUGCCCUUAUUAAUUAUACAUCUUUUUCUUCAAUCAACAAUAAAUAACAUGUUGAAAACAUAAACCAUCUCUCUCUUAAAGGAUAAAAUUGUAAAAACAAUACUAAUUACAGACAUAUUUAAUACAAAUAUCCACUAUCUUAAUUCCCGUUUUUUUUCAAAAGGACCCUAUAAUCAAGGACGGAGGUAGUAAAUGUCUAAUUUGGGAACCAGAAAUGAGGUAGUAUUAAAAAAUUCUCUCAGAUGGAUAACCACUCAAAGUACAAAAUGUCGCGAACUUUCUAGCAAAUCAUAAUCACAAAAAAGUUUGAAUAUAGUUAAACAAUCAUAUCAUAUUUUUAGAUCCAUAUCCAAUAUCCAAUAUUUAAUAAUUUAAGCUUGAAUAAGUUUAAAGGAAGUGAGGUUUCUUAAGUGUUGCAACGACCAUUCUAAAACAAUAGCUUCAUAAGUGUUUGAAGUAUAAACUUUGGUGGCAGAAAGGGUGAGGCGAUAGUUAACCCCAUCAGCCACGAUUUGGGAUUCACCCUUGAUGACCUUCCAAAGUCUCAAUUUCUCCUCAGGUUUACGCCUUCUGUUGUUGUACUCCUUAACAGCAAAAUUGGCAACAUCAAUCACCUUUGGAUCAUUGAUAUUGUUGAUGGGGCUCAAAUUUCCUAUUGGUAUAGCUUGCUUUGUGGCGGUAAAUGCCAACAAAACAACGAGGACAAGAACCAUGGAUUCAAGUCUCAUAAUGCUUAUGUUGUAACUGUUAUAUAUUUUGAAGCUUCACAAAUUGUUUUGGUGUGAUUUAGUCUUAGCCGGUUAGGUUGUUAUAUAUGUUGCACAUAAGUUAUAUCUAGUUGGUAAUAUAAUUUAUUGAGUUAAUAGUGUUUUCUCCCCGUAAAAUAGGUCAUUUUCGGUUUACCUUUUAGAAAUUUUUUGGUUUGGAAUUAGUCCUUUUAUUUUUUAUUUUAUAGAAUACCCCCUAAUAGAUUAUUUAAAAGCAAAAAUUCUGAAAAAGAAAAAAAAAUCUAAAAAUGGCCUAUUACAGGGUAUCUGGAUUUUUUUUCAAGAACUGAUUUUAAACCAAAAAUUUCCUAAAAAAUAAACAAAAAAGGUGACAACUAGGGUACCUAUGGAAGAAUGGUGGGUAAUUUACCCCAACCAAUACACAUUAGCCGCAUAAGCACAUUUUUAAGUGGUAUCCAUGAACUAUCUUGACCCCACCAACAAAUUGCUCAUUUUCAUUGGUUGGUGGAUAAAUUACCCACCAUUCUUCAAAGAUAAUCUAAAAAAAACCAACAAAAAAUGACAUAUUUUACAGAGGAAACACUAUUAACCUCAAUUUAUUUCACCAUCUGCUCUUUCUGUUUUGUUGUUGUCCUAUUUUUUGUACAAAAAGAAAUACACACCUCUCUAAAAUAUGUAGUAGCUACCAAAAUGUAUGGUGUCUAAAAAUGUUAAUUAUACUUCAACACUAUUUUAAAUUGUGCAUAAUACUUGAACUUACAUAUUUCCAUCACAUCACUACUUGACAUUUUGACACCACUGUGUUUCAUUUUCACGUUCUUCCUACAUUCUCUUGAUAAUUUCAAUUAUAUUGUAUUAUGUCUCUUUAAUAAAGCUUGAUUAUAGCGUCCCCGUGAGCAUAGCUCAGUUGACAGAAACAUUACAUUGUUAUAUGCAGGGGUCGGGGUUCGAACCCCAGACACCGCACUUAUUCACUUUAUAAGGUGAAUUCUAGCCAAUAGACUAUCUGACAAAAAAAAAAAAAGUUUGAUUAUACUCUUACUUCACUCUUUUAUUAUGUCUCCUUGUUAACUUUACUCUAAAUUUUAUCCAUAUGUACUUAACUUUUUCAGGUCAAGGCUACAAACUUCAAGAGGACUUUAAAGCAGAAUUGCUAGGAAAAAUAUUUGAAAGAGAAUAAAGUACAUUAUCGGGGAUAUAUCUCAGUCUUAUUCAAACAUAGGAGUUCAAUAUUUCCGUAUGAUUUUCGGAAUGAAAUAAUAUUGUAUGAAUCAAUUAGACGUUAAAUAAAUGCCGAAAAACGACCUUUAUCAACAACCAAAAAUAACUUCCUUAACAAAAGAAAAGACAAAAUUACUCAUUCCUCUUAACUUAAUUUUAGAAAAAUUUCGUUUUUAUCUUUUUAUUUUCCAAAUUUCAUCCUUUAUGUUACAAGCAGGUAACCGUUUCGUCUUUUAUCUUUUUCUUUUUACGAUUUAAUCAUUUGUUAGAAAACAUUGUUAUAAUUUUUUAUGGGAUUCUUCAAUGAAAUUUGAGUUGGUAUGUUUGUAUGAUGAAAAUUUUAGUUUGUUUAUGAGUUUGAUUAAAAAAAAAAGUUGAAAGACCAUGUCAAAUAGUCUAGAAGAAUUUGUUUUAAUUUCUUAUAUUUUCGUAUGAUCUUCAUUCGUUGUCUUCCGAAAUCCUAUGAGAUGUUUUGCUUUGCCGAUUUGCAUGAUUUGUCUUGAAUUACAUAAAAAAAACACUAUAGAAAUGCUUGAUUUCGGGAAAAUUAGAAUUGCAUUACUCAAAAUGAAAAUAUUACAAAAUGUUCCGAAAACCAUAGGCUAUUGAUCUAAAACUCCUACAACUUAGAUCAAAAGUAAAUAAAAAUGACCGAAAAAUAUAUAUGCUAAAAAUAACGUAAGAUGAUCUGUCAUCUAUCAUUGAAGCCUCAUUUCAUGUACCGAUCAACUUGGAAGCUAUACCGACUUCCAUUGGUAAGCUACUAAAUCUAUCAUUUAAGUCUUUCAAAUUUAUCUGAGGAAUUUGGUAAUUUGUGCAAUCUAAGGAAUCUGUACGUUGCAGGUUGUUUAAGUUGUGAAUUAUCAUUCUCAGUCGCCAAUCUUUUAAAUUUGAUAGUGAUAUAUAACGUGCAAUGAAGAGACGAUAGUUUGAUGAGAAGAUUUCCAGCUUAUGCUUCCUAAUAUGAAGAUAGAGGUUCCUCAGGUUGAUGCUAACUUAAACUAACUUUAGUAAAUGAUCUCAUAAGACCUCUUCUUUGAAUGACUUCUGUAUCAUGAUAAAACUCCUCCCUUUCUUUGAAUAGCUUUCCAACCUUUUCUAAUACUUGUUUAUGUAAGUUUCUCUAGUAUUGUAGUAUAUAAUUACAAUUCUUUUGCAAUCUUUUGUAUAACUACAUGAUUUGUAUUAGCUAUUCUCAAUCAAUAAAUUCAAUUUUUUUUUUUUUUUAAUUUUCUCAUUCUAUAGAUUUUUUUACAUGAUAAUAAAGCUAGUAAAUCCUUCUAUAUGGUUCUCCAACUCUUAAAAAGCUUUUUUUUAGUACUUAGGUUUCUAUUUUCUUUUUCCCUAUUUUUGAGUUCUUCAAUCAUAGAUCAAAUUUGGCAAAAAGUUGUCGAUCCUCCAAACUUGUCAAACAUGGUCUUUGUUGCUCCUUCAUUGAAUGGAAAAAGAUACAAGGUUUAAUUGCACUUUUGGCUUUCUAUCUUUUUAAAAGUUGUGAUUUUGGCCUCCUAACUAAUUAAAAUACAAAACAGCUCCUAUGUAUUGGAUCUUUGACAGUUUUGGCCCCCAAUGGCCAUUUUGACUUGGUCUUCACUGAUGUGGCAAUUUAACAUAAAUAAUUAUUUUUUAAAAUUUAAAAAAUAAAAAAAACUUUUUUUAUUUAAAAAAUAUACUUUUUUAAAUAAUUAUAAAAUAAAAAAAUAAAAAUUUUAAAAAAUAUAUUUUAAUUACAAAAAUAAAAAAAUUAUUUUUUAAAUAAUAAAAAAAAAUAAAAAAAUACACGUGUGCGUUGACCAAAUCAAAUCAAAAUUGGUCUUGGGGUCAAAACUGCCAAAGAUCCAAUACAUAAUUGAAUGCAUGUGUAACAUAACUUUACAAGAUGGUGCAUACAAAAUAACGUUACACCCUAUUCAUAGUAGUGCCGUGUCUUGGAUUUUCUGAUCUUGGCGUGCAUUGCAUAUACAACGUUGACGACUCAUCAAAUCUAUUAUUAGUCAUUUUUCAUCGUUUGUACAAAGUCAUAAGUCAUUUGACAACGUCAAACAUAAUUGUUGAUUUGUGCUGCAAGUUUCCACGUAUGAGAAUAACUUCCCAGCAUCUUGGAGAGGAUUGGUGGAUUACUCUAAAUUUUAUCCAUAUACUUAACUUUGUUCAAUUCUUCAAAAGAAAAAUACUUGACUCGUUCAAUGUACGUUAUGUUAGGUCAAGCUGAAGCAGAAUUGCUAGGAAAUAUAUUUCAAUGUACGUUAUGUUAUGGAAUAAAAAAAUCUUGUGUUUUGCGUUUGGUAUUUUCGAAAGUACUAUUUGUAGAAAAUGUACUCCUCUGUAAGAAUGAUUAUUAUGAUCAUGUAUUUGACCAAAAUGUUCCUGGAAAUAACUCAAGUAAUUCCUCUGCCAAUUUCUAUGUGCGAUUGUAGCUAGUGCUGAUACCAAAUUUCAGCAUCCAUUAGGUAGUUUGGAAGUAAAUCAUAAAAUCCCGGUCAACUACACAUCAACCACUACUUCCUAUCUUUUGAUUUGUAUAUAUAUUUUUCCAUUAAAAAAAAGUAUGAUGGGUGAUAGAAUUUUUUAAAAUGAAGGUUUUUUUAGAAAGUAGUGGGUUGGUUAAACAAAUCACUUUUAAAUGGGAAUGUAUUUCAGUCUUAUCCAAACAUAGAUGUCCGACAUUUACAUACAUAAAUGAUAAAUAAACACAAAUUUGAACACAAAUACAACAUCAUGGGCAACUUUGUAAUUUCCAUUUUUAAGUGUAAGGACAAAGAUGAAUUUUCAACUGAAUAUGAAGGGCAAUUAUGUAAACUCGCUCUUCUCUCUUCUAUGUUUCCCCUACGCAGCUCACCCUCCUCUUCUCUUCCAAUCUUCUUUCUUUGAGGUCACUGCUGCAACCUCCCCCUUCGCCACCGAUUUAUCUAUCCCUACCUCUUGUCAUAUUUCUUUCAUUCUAGUUUUCUUAUUCAUCUGUCUCGAUUUGAUUAUGUUUAUCUUUCUCUAAUUUGCGUUCAGUUUAAUGACGUCGAUUUUAACGACGGCAACAGAGAAAGGAGGUGUGAGAUCCGGUCAGUAUGAGAGCUACGAGACAGAGUAGUUUAACGACGGUUAUAGCAGCGACAGAGAAAGUAAAGGGAUGAUGGUGGUGGUGUGAGAAAUCAGAGUUGAUCGGAGAAGGAGAUGUAUGGUGGUGGUGGCGCGAACUGAGAAGAAGGCUGAUGGUAGUGGUCGUCGGUGGUCGGUGGCCGGAGGGAGGGAGGAGCAGUGGUUGCUUGGUGGGUUAGAGAUGAGAGAGAAAGGAGCAGUGGGUGAGGGAGUGAAGAGAGAGAAAGAAAAAAAUUAAAAUAUUACUGUAUAAAAUAUGGUGUCUGUAUUGUGUUUCAACUUUUGUGUCCAAUUAUCAUAACUAAUUUACAUAAGACAUUAUGAAAAUGCUGAAAAGUGACCUUUAUCCUCGGCAAAAAAAAACGCUGAAAAAUGACAUUGUCAAAUAAUCUAAGAGUGUGUUUGGAUGGGGGAAUGUCUUGAAGUAAUGUAAUGUUUUGAGAGAAUUCAAAUACUUUGAGGUGAAUUUCAUUGUUUAGAUAAUAAUUUGAAGAAUUUUCAAAAUGAUGGAAAUUCAUGAAGUAUUUUGGUCAAGUCAAAUUUAGAGAAUUUGAAAUGACACCUAAAAGUUAAGAAUUUCAAAAUUCUUCAUUGUUACAAUUUUUCAAAUUUUGCAUUUUGGUCCUCAAAAUUUCCAAUUUGACCCCAAUAAAUUUCCAAAAAAGUGCAAAUUAGCCCAUCAAAAUUUUCAAAAAUUAUAAUUUGACCCCUCAAGUUUUUGAAAUUUACAAAUUGACCCCUAAUUUCAAUUUUCAAAUUUGACCGCUAGAAAUUAAAAUUUAUAAAAGUUGUCCAAAAUGAGGAUAAUGAUUUUUUUUUUAUUACUCCAUCCAAACAAAAGUAUUGAGAAAUGAAAGUAAUUUAAUUGAAUCAUUUAAAUUGCCUAGAAUUCCGAAUUCUUUAAAAUUUCUCAAUUACCUCAUCCAAACACACUCUAAGGUUUUCAAAUAAAACUAUUAGACAUUUUCUAUUGUGAUCACAAAAAACAAAUUUAAGGUUUCCAAUAUUUAGAGAAGCAAUUAGACAUUUUCUAUAGAUUAAUAUGACAUAUAUUAAGUUAUCUACAAAUACAAAUAUGGUGCAAUACUUACUUUAAAAAGUAUAUCGUAAACCUAUUUUAUUUAUCAAUAUCAUAAAUCUAUUUGACUGGUUUUAAUGUUACAUAGCGUACUUGUACUUCAUCCGUCUCAUAAUAAAUGUGACUUUUAUAGUUUGGAAAUGUUAACAAGUGUUCAACGAUACACACUCGUUAAGGGAAUAUAAAAGAAAAUAUUCUCUUUAAAAUUGUGUAUUUUACUUUUUGAAAGUUAAAAUAGUGUUCUUUUUAAUGCAAAAUUUUACUUUUCUUUCUACUUUUAGUUUGUUAAAUAGUGCCUUGAGGCACAGGUUAAGAAGACCCUUAUAAUUUUCAAUACUUUAAAAUAAUAAUUUUUUUAUGAGUGAUAUAUCUUAAAAUGAGUGUCACUUUUAAAUACUCAUUCAACGUUUAUAAUUAUUUUUAACUAUUAUACUUUUAUUUAUUAAAUUUUAGCACUACAACUAAUAAAAGUGUUAUGACAAAUGAUACUAAUAUUACCAACAAAAUCAACCAAACUAAUAAUUUGUUUAAGAACCAAAAAAACUCAAAAACGACAAUUAAACUGGAAAAAAAAAAUAAAAGCACUCCCUCCGUCCCAAAUUGUAUGACGUUUUAGGCAUUUCACACUUGUUAAAAAAUAUAAUUAAUUUUGUGUGGAAAAUAGAUAUGAUAAACUGUUUUACAAAAUUGUCCUUAUUAAUAAAUGAUAUGGAAAAGAUAAAUUAAAAAAUUGAAAAAACAGAAAAUAAUAAAUAGUUAAGGAUAUAAUAUCAAAAAUAACAUUAAUGUUUUAUUGGUAUUAUAAAAAUGACAUAUAAUUUAGAACAAAUUUUUUUUUAUUUAAAUUGAGAUACAAUUUAAGACGGAGGGAGUAUAUAUUUGUAAUUAUCUCUUAAGUUGCUCUACACGGUUAUUCAAAUGAAAUUGAUUUCAUCGUCAGAUGCAUUAAAUUAAUGCUGUAAUAAUAUGCUUUUUCAUAUCGGUAAUUAAUUGUCUUACAAGAAAAGUAGUUACACUCGUUUAAAAAAAGUAAGAAGAGUAUUGCACUUUAUUUGAAAGAUUGUCCUUGUGAGUUUAACUCAGUUGGUAGAGACAGUGUAUAAUAUAUGCAAGGUCCAGAGUGUGUCGGUUCAGCAACUGCCUCUGUUUUGGUUAAUAGAAGUCCAACGAACAAAUUUCCUAUGAAAAGGGGGUUAAGACAAGGUGACCCGCUCUUUCCAUUUCUUUUUCUUAUUGUUGCAAAAGGUUUGAAUGUUUACUGGUUAUAGUGUUGGUUCUAAUAGUCCUACCAUGAUUUCUCAUAUGCAAUUUGCGGAAGAUACUCUUCUGAUGGGAGUCAAGAGUUGGGCAAAUGUCAGAGCCUUGAGGGCUGUCCUAUUUCUUCUUGAGGCUAUGUCGGGGUUGAAAGUAAAAUUCCACAAGAGUAUCCUGAUGUAUUAAUAUUGAUGAGUGGAGGGUGCAUGAGUUAGCCUCUGUUCUGUCUUACAAAAUUGGGCGGUUACCGUUUAUUUAUUUGGCCUUCCUAUUGGCGGCGAUGCGACACUUGAUUUUUUGGGAGCCAAUAAUUGACCGUAUAAAAGCUAGACUGUUUGAAUGGAAGAGUAGAAAUUUAUCUUUUGGUGGCCGUUUGAUUCUCCUUAAAUCCGUUCUACCUACGCCCUUUCUUUUUUCAGAGCUCCAACAUGUAUAUUCUCCUCUCUUGAGUCUAUUUUAAUUAAUUAAAUUUUUUUGGGGUGGUUGUGAGGAUUAUAAGAAAAUUGCUUGGGUUGAUAGGAAUAAUAUUUACAUGAGUUCGGAGUUUGGGGGUGCAACGGUUGAAGGAAUUUAAUUUUGCUUUAUUAGGUAAGUGGUGUUGGAGGUGUCUGGUGGAUAGGGAGGGUUGUGGUAUAAGGUGUUGUCUUCUCGUUAUGGUGAGGAGAGGGGCGGAUUAAAGAUGGUGGGAGAGAUAGGUCUUCUUAGUGAAGGGAGAUUGUGAAAAUUAGUGAGGGAAUUGGGAUUGAGGGUAGAAGUUGGGUUGAGGAGAGCAUUCAGAUGAAAAUAGGUAGUGGUAUUAAAACCUUUUUUGGUCAGACUGUUGGGUGAGGACGGCCCCUCUUCGGGAGUUUAGGAUGCUUUUUGAUUUAUUAGUUUACAAGGAUAAGACGGUGGUAGAAAUGUUUUAAUUUCCUUAGGUUGGGGGGAUUGAGGGGAAGCUUGGGGUGGCGUCGUCGGUUGUUGGCUUAGGAGGAGGAUCUAGUGGGGGAGUGUACAUAUUUUCUUUCAAAUGUUACUUUGCAGGAUAUUACUAAAGAUGUUUGGAUGUUUGGUAGUGGCGCUCUAAUGUGGGUGAUGGUUAUACGGUUUGUGGUGUGUAUCAAAUGCUCAUGAGGCAGGAGAUGCAUAGCCGCGAUGAAGUUGUUGACGCAGUUUGGCAUAAAAAUGUUCCUCUGGAGGUUUCAAUUUGUGCAUGACGUCUUUUCUGCAAUAGGUGGCCUAAAAGGGAUAAUUUGGUGCGUCGCGAUAUCAUUCCGUCCAAUUCUCAUUCCGCCGCGAUAUCAUUCCGUCUAAUUCUCAUUUCGUCGCGAUAUUCAGUUUGCUUACUCUUCGGGAGGCUUCAAACCCCGUCGGUUGUUUUUGCAGCUUAUUUGACUUUGCAGUGUUUAUCUACUUUAGAAUGAAAGAAAUCAGAGAUUGUUAUCAAAUAAAGCUAAAUCUAUUAUGGAGCUUCUGGAAAUGUGUCAACUCUAUCGAUGAGAUGGUAACUUGUGAGACUCGCAAUCAUUUUAGUUGUCUUAUGGAUAUUGCCUUCGUUGGCUCUUUUAUUUAUUUUUUUCUUUCGGUUUUAUCUUAUGUUAUCUUGACAUUUUUUACGUUUAAAUCGUUUCCUCUCAUAUUUUAUGCUUCGUGUUUUUUUUCAAUUCUCUUCUUAUUUAUUGUUCGGUCCAAGUUCAACGUUUUAUGUUCAACAAUUUUUACAUUCACAAGGGCUUGGUAUUAGAAUAUUUUUUUUUUUUGAGCAAAGCUUGGUAUUAGAAUAAAAAGAAUGCCUUUGGUGAAUAAUGUCACACGUCAAGAUAAAAACAAAAACUCAAUUUUUAAUGGCUGAAAGUUACCAGUUGUUCUUUUCUUGCAGACCAAACAACGUGUUACCGUGUCGAUAAUUUAAGGGAAAGAAAAUCGAAGAUUACUACACACGUAAUGUUUCGGAAAGAUUCAAGAAGAAAACAGUGUUCAUUCUUUUCUACUAUAUAAAUACAUGCAUGUUAUAUACGUUAGUUUCAAUUUCAUAUCAUCGUACUACAUCAAUAUAUUUAAGUUUAAACUCUUGCAUAGCUAAAGAACACGGACAGGCAAAAGCAGAGGAAGGAAUCUCAAAUUCAUGAGUAGCGCCACUACACAUAUUAUUACCCUUACAACAAGAUUUCAUGAUGUCUUGAACAAAAUAUCUCAAAUAGUUGAAACAGCACGAAAGCACCAAAGUGCAAGGCAAUUGUUGAGGUCAAUCUUGAAGGAUUUAACUCUUGUGGUUCAAGACAUAAAGCAAUACAAUGAACAUUUGGAUCAUCCCAGAGAAGAAAUCAAGACUCUAUUAGAAGAAAAUGAUGCAGAAGAAAGUGCAUGCAAAUGUUCUUCUGAGAAUGAUUCCUAUGUUGUUGAUGAGAACCAAUCUCUUAUUGUAAAUGAUGUUGAAGAGACACUUUAUAAGGCCAGAGAAAUUCUUGAGCUUCUCAACUAUGAAACUUUUGAACACAAAUUCAAUGAAGCUAAACCACCUUUCAAGCGUCCUUUCGAUGUUCCUGAAAAUCCAAAAUUCACUGUUGGGUUGGAUAUACCAUUUAGCAAGUUGAAAAUGGAGCUUAUAAGGGAUGGUAGCUCCACCCUUGUGUUGACGGGCUUAGGAGGAUUAGGGAAAACCACUUUGGCUACAAAGCUUUGUUGGGAUCAAGAAGUUAAUGGUAAGUCAUAAAUCCUCUUUGGCUCUCUCAUGCAUGUUUGGAUUAGCGGUGUGUUAGACAUAAUCAAAGAAACUUGAAAAAAAUUACACUGCCACCAUAAUUUUGUCAAAUUCACUUUGUUUCUAAAUAUGCACUUUUACAUGAAUAAUAGAUAUCAUGAUUCUUGCACAUUAUAAAAUUUGUUAUCAAUACUUUUAAAGUUGCCUUAGAUUAUACUCAAUAAUAUAUGGAUGUUUUAUUAGUAAAUAAGGAAAUAAGAAUUUUUUAUAUAAAUAUUUCUUGUGUGUAGAGCAGCUUAAAGCGGUAUUCAUGCUCGCUGAUUGUAGAUAGUUAGUUUGUCCUUAGAGAAUAUUAUGUUUAGGAGCCGUUCAUUAUUUUCCAAAUUACAUCAUAGGAAAACAUUGUAGGCAUCUUCUAUUCUCUGCAAAUGUUGAUUUAACAUAUUAAAGAAGCAUUUUUCUUUGAAUUAGAUUAAUUAACCUUCUUUUCUGUCAAGUGUUCAUUUAGUUGAGCAUGUUAAAUGUAAAAGAGAUUAACUAUUUUUGUCUUACAAUCUGUCUUUGGUUUUACUAGGUAAAUUCAAGGAAAACAUUAUAUUUGUCACCUUCUCAAAAACACCCAUGUUGAAGACUAUUGUAGAGAGAAUAAUUGAACAUUGCGGAUAUCCAGUGCCUGAGUUUCAAAGUGAUGAAGAUGCUGUCAAUAAGUUAGAACUUUUGUUGAAGAAAGUUGAGGGAAGUCCACUAUUGUUGGUUCUGGAUGAUGUUUGGCCAACCUCAGAAUCUCUUGUUAAGAAACUUCAAUUCGAGAUAUCAGAUUUCAAAAUUCUGGUGACUUCAAGGGUUUCAUUUCCAAGGUUUAGGACAACAUGUAUCUUAAAACCUCUUGCUCAUGAAGAUGCAGUAACGCUUUUCCAUCACUAUGCUCAGAUGGAAAAAAAUAGUUCAGAUAUUAUCGACAAAAAUCUUGUCGAAAAGGUACUUGUUCUUACUUUCUUGCAUAUGAGCGUUAUCUAUUAUGUAGCAUCGACACACUUCAGAUUGAAGUCACAUAGAAAGAUGCCUAUGUUAAAAUCAUUUGAUUAUUGACCAUAUUUACUUGCAAUGAAUUGCAGGUCGUUAGAAGUUGCAAAGGUUUACCGCUUACCAUUAAAGUGAUUGCUACAUCACUCAGAAAUCGGCCCGAUGACUUGUGGCGUAAGAUAGUGAUGGAAUUGUCACAAGGUCAUUCUAUUCUUGAUUCUAAUACCGAAUUACUUACUCGCCUCCAAAAGAUCUUUGAUGUUUUGGAAGAUAAUCCUACAAUCAUGGAGUGCUUCAUGGACAUAGCCUUAUUUCCUGAAGACCAUAGAAUUCCUGUCGCUGCUCUCGUUGAUAUGUGGGCAAAGCUGUAUAAACUAGAUGACAACGGAAUACAAGCAAUGGAAAUCAUCAACAAAUUAGGCAUCAUGAAUUUGGCUAAUGUCAUAAUACCAAGGUACUACGACUAUUAUUAUUAUAUUUUCUUCUAGGCUACUUAAAUUGUUAAAUAUCUCACAUGAAUGAUACUCUACAUAAAUCCUGUCAAAUGAUUUUUUAUCUUUAAGUAAUUAAUUAACCUCUUCUCAUUUACCAGGAAAAAUGCAAGUGACACAGACAAUAACAACUACAAUAAUCACUUCAUCAUCCUUCAUGAUAUUCUAAGAGAUCUUGGAAUUUACCAAAGCACCAAGCAACCAUUUGAGCAAAGAAAAAGACUGAUUAUUGACAUUAAUAAAAAUAGAAGUGAGCUCGCGGAGAAGCAGCAAAGCUUGUUGACCCGUAUAUUGUCAAAAGUAAUGAGAUUGUGUAUUAAACAAAAUCCCCAACAGCUUGCUGCUCACAUAUUGUCGGUAUCAACUGGUUAGUAAUACUUAUACUACCUUUUUCUAUAUUACACCAACAAAAAAAUACUAUUGAUAAUUUUGCUGUAAUCUGUUAUUCAUUCCUUUUCCACAAUUGAUUGUGUUAGUUUCAAAUUUGCAGAUGAAGCAUGUGCGUCAGAUUGGUCUCAAAUGCAACCAACUCAGGUCGAGGUUUUGAUUUUAAAUUUGCAUACCAAGCAAUACUCAUUUCCUGAGUCGAUCAAAAAAAUGAGUAAACUAAAAGUUCUUAUAAUCACAAACUACAGUUUCCAUCCAUGUGAACUGAACAACUUUGAGCUUCUCGGUUCUUUACAGAACCUGGAAAAAAUCAGACUAGAGCGAAUUUUGGUCCCUUCCUUCGGCACAUUGAAGAAUCUGAAAAAACUAUCUCUCUACAUGUGUAACACAAUACUGGCUUUUGAAAAGGGUAGCAUCCUAAUUUCAGAUGCAUUUCCAAAUCUAGAAGAAUUGAACAUUGAUUACUGCAAAGAUUUGGUGGUAUUGCAAACUGGUAUCUGUGAUAUUAUCUCAUUAAAGAAGCUCAAUGUUACUAAUUGCCACAAGCUUUCUUCACUUCCCCAAGAUAUUGGAAAAUUGGAGAAUUUGGAACUUCUAAGCUUCAGUUCAUGUACUGACUUGGAAGCUAUACCGACUUCCAUUGGAAAGCUGUUAAAUCUAAAACAUCUUGACAUUUCAAACUGCAUCAGCCUUUCAAGUUUACCUGAGGAAUUUGGUAAUUUGUGCAAUCUAAAGAAUCUGGACAUGGCAAGUUGUGCAAGUAUUGAAUUGCCAUUCUCAGUUGUCAAUCUUCAGAAUUUGAAGACGAUAACCUGCGAUGAAGAGACGGCUGCUACAUGGGAAGAUUUCCAGCAUAUGCUUCCCAAUAUGAAGAUAGAGGUUCUUCAUGUUGAUGUUAACUUAAAUUGGCUUCUUUGAAUGACUUUUGUAUAGCAUAUAAUUAAAAUUCUUUUGUAAUAU
rnacentral:lncRNA from 1 species